rnacentral:rRNA from 1 species
AUGAACGCUGGCGGCGUGCCUAACACAUGCAAGUCGAACGGAGUCCAGCCUUUAAGACCUUCGGGUCAAAGAGGGGAAGACUGAGUGGCGGACGGGUGAGUAACACGUGGGCAACCUGGCUCAUAGAGGGGGAUAACAGAGAGAAAUUUCUGCUAAUACCGCAUAAGCACACACUGCCGCAUGGCAGAGGGUGAAAAGAGAAUCGCUAUGAGAUGGACCCGCGUCUGAUUAGCCAGUUGGCAGGGUAAGAGCCUACCAAAGCGACGAUCAGGAGCCGAUCUGGAGGGAUUGACGGGCACCAUUGGACUGAGACCCCGCCCCAACCCCUUCGGGAGGCAGGCGUUGGGGAUAUUGCACAAUGGGGGGAACCCUGAUGCAGCGACGCCGCGUGAGUGAAGAAGUAUUUCGGUAUGUAAAGCUCUAUCAGCAGGGAAGAUAAUGACAGUACCUGAAUAAGAAGCCCCGGCUAACUACGUG